rnacentral:rRNA from 1 species
AGCGAACGUUUGCGGCGGGCCUAACACAUGCAAGUCGAACGCACUAGCAAUAGUGAGUGGCGCACGGGUGCGUAACACGUGGGUAAUCAACCCUUCAGCCUGGGAUAACGACUCGAAAGGGUCGCUAAUACCGGAUACGGCGCGAGAGGCUUCGGCUUCUCACGAGAAAGCCACGCAAGGGGCACUGAAGGACGAGCCUGCGGCCCAUCAGCUAGUUGGUGAGGUAAGAGCUCACCAAGGCUAAGACGGGUAGCUGGUCUGAGAGGAUGAUCAGCCACACUGGAACUGAGACACGGUCCAGACUCCUACGGGAGGCAGCAGUGGGGAAUAUUGCGCAAUGGGCGAAAGCCUGACGCAGCCACGCCGCGUGAGCGAUGAAGGCCUUCGGUCGUAAAGCUCUGUGGGAGGAGACGAAGAAAGACCUGUGAGAGCAGGCCUUGACGGUAGUCUCCUUAGUCAAGCACCGGC